AUGUCUCUCUUCAUGACGAUAAGGACAAUGUCUUUCUCUUCUUUGUACUCCACAGAGCAUCUAGCAGAGUACCUGGUCCAUGGCUCAGGCAAAAUCAGACAGUCUCUAAUAGACAGGGCCCCGGAGCAGCCUUGGAGGUUAAGAGUUCUAAAGAAGGGUAGUGAAAACAACACUGGGGCUGAACUCAAUAGCAUCUGGAUUCAAAUCCCAGCUCUGCAGAUCCUUGGUCAAGUCUCUUCAGUUCCUAGUUUGCUCACCUGUAAAACAAAUAGAUUGCCAUUAAAGUUCCUUUUAGGAGGAGAUCCUGGGUACAGAUUUGCUCUCAAACAUGGCCUGCCUGUGUGACCCUGGGCAAGUCACUUAACCUUCAUUACCUAGCCCUUACUGCUCUUCUGCCUUGGAACCAAAACAUAGUAUUGCUUCUAAGAUGGAAGGUAAGGGUUUAAAAAGAAAAAGGCCUCUCAGCUCUAGAAUAUCUUCAAACUCUAAUGGGACUUCUCCAUGUCACCAUGAUUAUGAGAUAAAGUAGAAGUAACAUUAAAGAAGAUGUAUUAUCUUCUGCUUUGUCCCUGCACCCUAAGGACCAUGGGACCUUUCUGUGUCACUGCUAUCUGAAAACUCCUAAUUAUGUUGUCUCUGUAAAUUUGUAAGUCCAGUGCUUAGCAUAUAGUCAGCACUUAAUAGAAUCCUUUUUCAUUCAUUCAUGCAUGCAUGACCCAAACCUUUUAGGAAUCCCCUUAAUCCCUUUCUUACCUAGCCACCUAGCUGAUUCAUAGGCUCCUGAAAGGGCCUUCAGAGAAUAUAACAGGCCAUCAUUUGACCCAAGCAAAUAUAUACUCCAUUAACCCACAUCAGCCUCUAAAUCUUUCCAACAGUCGGUUGGAUUCUAAUGAUAAUUAAUAAUGUUAAUAAUGGGGUAAAUUUAUAUCCAAUAGAUUAGAAGGGCAACCAGGGGGCAUGGUGGAUAGAGUGCUGGGCCUGAAGUCAGGAAGACUCAUCUUCUGGAGUUCAAAUCCAAUCUCAAAUACUUCCUACCUGGGCAAGUUACUUAACUCUAUUGGACCUCAGUUUCUUCUUCUGUCAAAUGAGCUGGAGAAGAAAGGAAAUGGCAAACCAUUCCAAUAUCUUUGCCAAGAAAACUCCAAAUGGGGUCACAAAAAGUCAGACACAACUAAAAUGUCUAAACAACAAAGAUAGAUUAGGUUAUUUAUAAAUAUAUUAAGAUA
rnacentral:lncRNA from 1 species